GCCCGCCUAGCUCAAUCGGAUAGAGCGUCAGACUUUUAAGGCGGUGUGCUGCAUCAGUCACUUCUUAUCUGAAGGCUGCGAGUUCGACCCUCGCGGUGGGCU